UUUUUUCUUUUUCAUUUUCUUACUCCUUUCCCAAUCACACAUUUCCCCGGCUUAACUAUACACUAGCUUAGCUUAGGCCCAAAUCAAGUCCAUCAAAAGAUCUGCCUAUUAAACCUCUCUUCCUCAUCGUCUCAUCGCUUCUAAAACCCUAAUUUUCUAUCCCAAUUCCAGCGAGCUACAUGGGUUUAAUUUCCCCAAAUUUGUAGUCUACCGUCACAUUAGGGACUAUUACUUUAUCUGUUUUGUGAUUCUGCUAUCGUUGUUUUGCAUUCCUUUAGGUAAACUCUGGAAAACUUGUUUCUGUCGUCAAUUUCUGAAAAAGAGAUUGUCGUUUCCAGUGAUUUUUUGUUGGCAUUGUAGCCGAAUCAGGGAAAAUAUGGGGCGGGCAUACAAAAUGAAAGGGCAGAAAAGGAAGAACAAAGGGGAGAAAUACGACAGAGAGGAAGAACCGAAGCAAUUAGUUGGAAAUUUCACGCCGCAGCCGUCGAAGAAAGUGAAGACGGACGGCGCGGAGUCAGAAAAGGAGGAAAAAUUGAAGACUGUGGUUGAUGAUAUGCCCGGAAUUCCGAUUGCUCCACUUGAUACGGGAAAUAACAAGCAGGGCGUCAUCUUUGUUCUCGAAAAGGCCUCGUUGGAGAUUGGCAAAGUUGGGAAGACUGAUCAGCUUUUGAGUUCGGACGAGCAUGCCAACUAUUUGGUGAAGAAUAAGCGGAACCCAGCAGAUUAUCGGCCCGAUAUUGCUUUUCAGGCAAUCCAAACAAUUUUAGAUAGUCGCGUGAAUAAAAGUGGGAGACUGAAAGCUCUAUAUGUAAGGACACAGCUAGGUCAACUUAUGGAGAUCAAACCCCAUGUGCGUAUGCCAAGAACAUAUAAGAGGUUUUCUGGUCUCAUGGUACAAUUGCUGCAAAAGCUGAACAUUACUGCAACUGACAAUGGGGAAAAACUUUUACGUCUUGUCAAGAACCCCGUGACCCAGUAUUUACCCACCAAUAGUCGUAAAAUAGGUUUCUCACAUAGUUCAGAAAAAUUGAUCGAUAUGUACAACUAUGUUGGUAAUAUCAAUGAAGAAUUGGAUCUAGUUUUUGUGCUAGGGGCAAUGGCCCAUGGGAAAAUUGAUGAAGAUUAUGUUGAAGAUUAUAUCUCAAUCUCCGAAUAUCCACUGAGUGCUGCAUACGCUAUUUCAAUCAUUACAAAUGCCGUAGAGCGAAAAUUCAAGAUCUUGUAAGUCGCAGCGAAAGCUCCUAUGCUGUAGUUUGGUUUGGUAUACAUGUGCAGGCAGUGGAUUGAGCAGAUUUUCAGUUUCCUGGGCAAGAUUGCAGUCGUCGUUCAAAUCUAUUGAAGUAUGAUCAGCGACAGCAAUCUUGAUUUUCUUAAUUUCUAUGUUUUUGCAUUUGUGCAACCAAAUACCAUUAUAUACUGGAUAAUUCAAGAGUAGUUUUGUCUGCUUAAGAAGGCACAGAUUGUGUAGUUUUCAUUUGUCAGAUUUAGGGGGUGUAUUCGUUGUGGAUUUCCACAAACUUUAAAAAGUCCAUAGAAUUUAAAUUCCAUGGAAUUCACAUAGAUUCCAGACGACU